rnacentral:piRNA from 1 species
UGCUGACCAAAGCAGUGCCGGGCUUCCGCAA